rnacentral:rRNA from 1 species
UACAGAGGUCUCAAGCGUUGUUCGGAUUCAUUGGGCGUAAAGCGCGUGUAGGCGGCUAUGCAAGUCGGGAGUGAAAUCUCUGGGCUUAACCCAGAGGCUGCUUCCGAAACUGCUGUGCUUGAGUGUGGGAGAGGCGCGUGGAAUUGCAGGUGUAGCGGUGAAAUGCGUAGAUAUCUGCAGGAACACCCGUGGCGAAAGCGGCGCGCUGGACCACUACUGACGCUGAGGAACGAAAGCUAGGGGAGCAAACAGG